GAACAAGAUGGACUUGACCGUCAACUGUCGAACAUAUUGAACUCACUGAAGGAAUCUCAAGAGUAUUACUUCUUUGGACUCUGCCUACAGCUUAUUCGUGGGAACAAGAUGGACUUGACCGUCAACUGUCGAACAUAUUGAACUCACUGAAGGAAUCUCAAGAGUAUUACUUCUUUGGACUCUGCCUACAGCUUAUUCGUGGGAACAAGAUGGACUUGACCGUCAACUGUCGAACAUAUUGAACUCACUGAAGGAAUCUCAAGAGUAUUACUUCUUUGGACUCUGCCUACAGCUUAUUCGUGGGAACAAGAUGGACUUGACCGUCAACUGUCGAACAUAUUGAACUCACUGAAGGAAUCUCAAGAGUAUUACUUCUUUGGACUCUGCCUACAGCUUAUUCGUGGGAACAAGAUGGACUUGACCGUCAACUGUCGAACAUAUUGAACUCACUGAAGGAAUCUCAAGAGUAUUACUUCUUUGGACUCUGCCUACAGCUUAUUCGUGGGAACAAGAUGGACUUGACCGUCAACUGUCGAACAUAUUGAACUCACUGAAGGAAUCUCAAGAGUAUUACUUCUUUGGACUCUGCCUACAGCUUAUUCGUGGGAACAAGAUGGACUUGACCGUCAACUGUCGAACAUAUUGAACUCACUGAAGGGAUCUCAAGAGUAUUACUUCUUUGGAGUAAGAAAGAACUCGACCGAUGACGGUAAAAUUUUCUUCGAAAUCACACAGACGGCAGUACAACUC